CCUACGGGGGGCUGCAGUAGGGAAUAUUGCUCAAUGGGGGAAACCCUGAUGCAGCGACGCCGCGUGAGUGAGGAAGUAUUUCGGUAUGUAAAGCUCUAUCAGCAGGGAAGAAAAUGACGGUACCUGACUAAGAAGCUCCGGCUAACUACGUGCCAGCAGCCGCGGUAAUACGUAGGGGGCAAGCGUGAUCCGGAUUUACUGGGUGUAAAGGGAGCGUAGGCGGAAUUGCAAGUCUGAUGUGAAAAUCCGGGGCCCAACCCCGGAACUGCAUUGGAAACUGGAUGGCUAGAGUGUAGGAGAGGCGAGUGGAAGUCCUGGUGUAGCGGUGAAAUGCGUAGAUAUCAGGAGGAACACCAGUGGCGAAGGCGGCUUGCUGGACGAUGACUGACGUUGAGGCUCGAAAGCGUGGGGAGCAAACAGGAUUAGAUACCCUAGUAGUC
rnacentral:rRNA from 1 species